GAUGAACGCUGGCGGCGUGCCUAACACAUGCAAGUCGAACGGAAAGACGAUGAGCUUGUUCCUUUGACGUUAGCGGCGGGCGGGUGAGUAACGCGUGGAUCACCUACUUCUAUGUCGGGGAGAAUAACGGAAGACAGGAGACAAUACUAGAGAAUAUAUUGAACCGCAGGGAGCAGUGGAGAAUGACGGCUUUCGUGUCUGUAAUAGCGGGUUCCGCGCUGGAUAGGCUAGUUGGUAAGGUAACGGCCUACCAAGGCUACGAUGCGUAGCCGACCUGAGAGGGUGAUCGGCCACACUGGAACUGAGACACGGUCCAGACUCCUACGGGAGGCAGCAGUGGGGAAUCUUCGGCAAUGGGCGCAAGCCUGACGCAGCAACGCCGCGUGAGUGAUGAAGGCCUUCGGGUCGUAAAGCCCUUUUAUUGGGGAAGAACAGCUGUGGAAGUAUCCAUGGCCGUCUUGACGGUACCUAAUCAAAAAGCACCGGCUAACUACGUG
rnacentral:rRNA from 1 species